rnacentral:rRNA from 1 species
AGGGUUCGAUUCUGGCUCAGAACGAACGCUGGCGGCAUGGAUUAGGCAUGCAAGUCGAACGAAGUAGCAAUACUUAGUGGCGCAAGGGUGAGGAACGCGUGAGUGACCUACCCGCAAGUUUGGAACAGCUCCUGGAAACGGGAAUUAAUACCGGAUGUGAUCAAUGAGCUGCAUGGUUUAUUGAUUAAAGCAGUAAUGCGCUUGCGGAUGGGCUCGCGUCCCAUUAGCUAGUUGGUGAGGUAACGGCCCACCAAGGCCAUGAUGGGUAGCUGGUCUGAGAGGACGACCAGCCACACUGGGACUGAGAACUGCCCAGACUCCUACGGGAGGCUGCAGUCGAGUAAGUUUUGGGCAAUGGACGAAAGUCUGAACCCCCAGCAAUGCCGCGUGCGGGAUGAAGGUCUUCGGAUUGUAAACCGCUGUUUGGAGGGACGAAAAUUGACGGUACUUCCAGAGAAAGCCACGGCUAACUACGUGCCAGCCGCUGC